GUACUACUCCCUUCGUCCCAAAAUUCUUAUCUUAAAUUUAUCUAGAUACGGAUGUAUCUAAUACUAAAACGUGACUUGAUACAUCUGUAUUUAGACAAAUCUAAGACAAGAAUUUUGAGACGGAGGGAGUACUAA
rnacentral:pre_miRNA from 1 species